CUCUGUUCAGCUUUUAGUCUACUUUGUAUGAAUGUUUAUGUGACUUGUGCUUAAUGCUCAAUAAUUUUGACUGUACGGACAUGAAUUGGAGCCCCAGCCCAAAUUGUGAAUGGAUAUUUGCCCAGUGGGCCAGUACAAUAGAUUUGUAAAGAGUGGGUCAAAGAACUAGACCCUAAUUAAUUGGAUAAUAGUUAGAAUAGAUUUAAGAGACAAUCAAACAAAAGCAGAAAGAAUUUGUUCUAAUAAAUUCGCCAUCGGCACAGUCUGAGAAGGUCAGUUCUUAUAUAACUUAAUUGAACAAGUUACAAAUACAAUUUUGAUUGUUACAGUGCUUUCUCUCCCAAUUUUUCCGAUCCACUCUCUCAGGGUUUUCUCUCUAAUUUAUAUCUCUUCCCUUCUCAUCCUUCUCCUACACGUGGAUAGUAGAUUGCUCAAGUGGAUCCUUGUCCCAUCCACCCCCUUUUGAAGUCUUUGGAAGUAGCUGUAAGGUUGAAAAAACACUGUUUAGAGAUCACUUCCUCAUUAAUGCAGUCAGGGAAUUAGUUGUAGAGCAUUCAAUAAGGUGAUAGCAGCUUUUCCUUAGAUAUUUCUGAGCUCUCAUCCCUCUUGCAUGAUAAACGUCCCUAUCAUUGAAACUUCUUGGAAGGCCACCUUGAAUAUUAUGAUAUACAUUUGACCUGUGUUUGGCUUAUCCGAGGAUAUAUUUCUCCUUGGCCUACCUUCCCAUUUGUAACCUACUCAAGGGACUUUGAGCUUAACCCACCCACUACUAUUUAUUUGUCCUCGGAUCACCCCACGUUCUCGGCCAAGGCCCAAGGCCCAAGACACAAUUUGGGCCCUUAUCCCUACAUUGACUAUGCAGGACUAGGUGCUCCAUCAGUUUUCAACCGUGUAAGUUCUGUUUUCUUAAAUCUUUCUUGUUACGAAUUUCUAAAAGAAUCUUUAGCAAGUAUUAUGGGCCUAUGGGCAAUCUGCUAGAUGUAUGCAUGGUAUGGUAUAUCUUGCUGAUCUCUCUUAAUUCCGUCAAACUUCCAUAUCAACAUCUGCAUUAAGGAGAAGUGACUGAGAGCUUGUUUGUGUAUUAGUGUGGUGGAUAAGAAUGUAAACCAAGUAGAAUUGUGUUGUUUCGCCAAUGGGGAGGACCCUGCUAUUUAACAAGAUGUGUGAAACAGAAAGCUAUAAUGACUUUUCUGGAAUUAUAUCUCGCAAUGAUUUCUUCCCCUUGUUUAUUUAUUUAUUUUUAUUUUUUUGUUUGAUAAGUAAUAAAUUUUAUUAGAAAAACUGAAUGCAAGUACCCUGAGAGUAUACUAGCUGAACAUCGCUUACAAUACUCAAAAACUACACAAAUCCAUAAGCUUAACUAAAUUUGAGAAGGAAAACAUCUCUAAAGCUGUCAUCCACUUGAGCGCAGUGUCUUCAUAAAAAUCUCUUUUAGCUCUACCAUAGUCCUUUCACACCCAUCAAAGCAUCUUGCAUUUCUUUAAAUAGAUCUUUUUUCUCUAAUAAUUAAUCCUGGUGUAAUAUAUGUUUUCUCAAUGUCUAAAGAAAUAUAUGUUGUGUAUCAAAAAUCUUUCUGGUUUUCAAAUCCCAAUGCGAAUUUAUGUGGCAAGUUGUUGAAAUUGGAAAAGGCAGCAAGGUUAAGUACGAGCUUGAAAAGACAAGUGGCCUUAUAAAAGUUAUACUCAAUUUACUUGUAUGUUCUGCUACUAGUCAUCGUCGUACCAUUUGCUUUAGAAGACAUUACCUGUUUCUUGUGGCACAAGUUAAAGGAUACCAAGAGGAUAAACCGCCGGCGCAGGCGCCGUUUUCAAGAUAUUGAAUUAGGGUACAGUUCAAGUGAUGACAGUGAUUUUUCAGAUAACUAUCAUCAUCUAAAUGUGAGUAGAAAGCAAAAGUCUGUCAGAGAGAGAAGAAAAGAUCGGCUUCGGAGAUCUCUCUACCCUUCAAGUAGGCAUAGUGGACACAGUCACAAUCACCAUCAUCAUGUAAGGUUGAAGACUGGGGAAGUAUCAGUUCAUGUUAGGGGUAGGUCUCAAAGAUUAAGUACCUCAAGACACCUUCAAUUGAAUAAGGUAAGAAAUGCUCGAAAAGAUGUUGGGAUUUUCAAGAGGAGACGGUUUAGAUGAUCAUAUCAUGAUUGGAGAUACUGCUUUGGUUUGUAGCAGUAGUCUUUAAAAUUGAAGUAAUUAUAAAAUUUUUGACUUAACAAAUGCAAUUUCUAGUUUAGAGUGUCUGUGUCAGUGUAAGAAUUACAAGGUCAACCCUCUCUCCUUGACUUCGUUUUGUGAUUUUGUCUUUAGGCCUAAAGGCACAACAAGAGGGGAAUAGGCUAAAAUUUGACAUUGAGCACAAAGAACAUUAUUACACUUUUACCAUUAUGGAAUUUGGAGCUUCAUAUGGAUGCAAUCA